rnacentral:rRNA from 1 species
UACAGAGGCCCCAAGCGUUACUGAGAAUCACUGGGUUUAAAGGGUGCGUAGGUGGUCCGUUAAGUUCGUUGUGAAAUCCCUGGGCUCAACCCAGGAAAUGCUUCGAAUACUGGCGGACUUGAGGCUAGUAGAGGUCACUGGAACUGACGGUGGAGCGGUGAAUGCGUAGAUAUCGUCAGGAACGCCGAUGGUGAAGACAGGUGACUGGGCUAGUUCUGACACUGAGGCACGAAAGCGUGGGGAGCGAACGGGG